ensembl:lncRNA
GGUGAGACUAGGUGUGACAGGGUGAGACUGGGUGUGACAGGGUGAGACUAGGUGUGACAGGGUGAGACUGGGUGAGAAGGUGUGACAGGGUGAGACUAGGUGUGACAGGGUGAGACUGGGUGAGACAGGGUGAGACGGUGUGACAGGGUGAGACUGGGUGAGACAGGGUGAGACUGGGUGUGACAGGGUGAGACAGGGUGAGACUGGAUGAGACUGGGUGUGACAGGGCUAGACGGCAUGACAGGGCGAGACAGGGUGAGAAGGUGUGACAGGGUGAGACUAGGUGAGAAGGUGUGACGGGGUGAGACUAGGUGUGACAGGGUGAGACUGGGUGUGACAGGGUGAGACUGGGUGUGACAGGGCUAGACAGGGCAUGACAGGGUGAGACAGGGUGAGACUAGGUGUGACAGGGUGAGACAGGGUGAGACUAGGUGUGACAGGGUGAGACAGGGUGGGACAGGGUGAGACUGGGUGAGAAGGUGUGACAGGGUGAGACUAGGUGUGACAGGGUGAGACUAGGUGUGACAGGGUGAGACUGGGUGUGACAGGGUGAGACUGGGUGUGACAGGGUGAGACUAGGUGAGAUCGGGUGAGACAGGGUGUGACAG